GCAUGUGAAAGGGAUAACAAGUACACAAGUAAAGAGAUAAUAAAUGGAAACAUAUUUUAAAGUGUCACUGAGUAAACUUCUUUCAAAAGUAAAUAAUGAAGCCAAAAAGCUAAGUCCACAUUUCGAAUAUUGAAGUAAGAGUAAUGAAAUUAAUAAACUGUACGGCAUCACCCUUCAUGUAUUUACUUUCAUCAUACAUCAUAAUAUAAAAACAAGCAUGAAAACAUCCUAUGUGCAUAUCCUCACGUUCACUUAGGCACGAAAGUACACUUCAUGUAAUAUUAUCAGUAUAUAAAUAAGGCACAAAAUAUCUUUCGUGCAUAAUCACUUUUCCUCACAAUUACAUCAACACCCUUCAUGCAUUUCACUCUUCCUCACAAGUACGACAAUACCCUUUGUACAUUUUGCUCUUCCUCACCAAACAUCACAUACAAUACGAUACCAACCAAGGAAAACAAAUUCAAUAUCAACAAUGGUAUUUGAACACAAUUCGUCAUAUGAGAAUUUUCUAAUAAUUAGCACCAACAACCAAUCAACACUUCAAUGAUAUCAACAUCAAUAUCUCAGUAUAGAAAAUAACAUGAAUACAAAAAAUUAUAGAAUUAAACAAUUUGUCUAAAGCAUGGGAAACAUAAAACACAAAGUAUCAUGGAACAAGUAAGACUAAUUAAUGCUACCUGCAUGCUUAUCCCAUGGACAACACAUAUACGUCUGUCACCUUGUAUAUACGCCACCCCCAAUACAUAAAUCACAUAAAAAAUAGACUCGAUUCUACCUUAUUUUCCUCAAAUUAAGUUUAAAUAAGACACUUAUCUCUUUUCGGAUCACAGUUAACAAUCCAACACGGAUAUUUUUAAGACAAGACUUCAAAGCAACCGUACCUAGUCAAUUAUUGUUCAAAUAGGUCAAAAUAAGCUUUAGAAACUACCCUCGGAUAAAAAAAAAAUCAAUCUUUGAUAUAAUUAAAAAAGUCAACAAAAAAGUCAAUACGGGCCCACGUGGUUCAAAAUUCAAAAUUAACACCUAACACGAUUACCCAUUCAUCCCGAGCCCGAAUAUAUGAUUUAUUUCAAAAUCCAACCUCAAUUUGAGGUCUAAAUCUCAAUUUUACAAAAUCCUAAAUUUCACCAAAAAUCUCCAAUUUCUACUUUGAAAUUCUCAGAUUUGAUAGUGAAAUUCAUGAAAAAGUAAUUGAAAUUUAACAAAAAUAAGUUAAGAUUACUAAUAUAUGAAUUUGGGAAUAAAUUUAUCUCCAAAACUCCCCUUUAUGGAGUCUAGGUAUCAAAAAUAGUAUAAAAUAAGUUAAAUUUCGAAAUUCCCAUAUUUUACCUAGCUACAAAUAUCGCAAUUACGAAGUCUUGUCCGCAAUCGCAAUGUUUGCAAAUGCGAAUCACUAUUCGCAAAAGCGAAUAAUGUCUUAACCAUUCAAGUAUCGCAAUUAUGAAGUAUUGUCCUUAAUUGCAAUGUCCACAAAUGCGAGUAAGUGUUCGCAAAAGAGACAAAACCUUCGCAUUAGCGAAGGUCGUCUCCCUCGCAAAAGGUGAACCAAGCUUAGCAUUUGCAAAGCUGCCCAAACAAAGCCUAGUGCCACAAACGCGAUACUACAGUCGCAAAUGCAAUGAAUCCCCAUCCGUAAAGGCAAUGCAGUCUUCGCAAAAGCGAAGUGCCCAAACCUUAGCCCAUCUUCACAAAUACGAGUCAUCCCUCGCAAAAGCGAUGCUUGCAUAUGCGAGAUGUGCAUGCUAACAACACCAGCUCUCCUUAAGUUGUCCCAAACCAUCCGCAAUGCAUCCGAAACUUACCCAAGCCCCUCGGGCUCCAAUCCGGACAUUCACACAACUGUAAUAAUAUUAUACAAACUCAGUCACAAGCUCAAAUCAUUAAAAUAACAUCUAAAUUCAAAAAUCAAUCACUAAAACUCAGGAUUUUCAAGUUCAGAACUUAAUUUUUCAAAUUUUACAUAAUGCACCGAAACAACCUCGGGUCACCUGGGAUCCCAAACCAAUAUGUGUACAAGCCCAAAAUUUUUUACGAACCUACCUGAAUUGUCAAAAUACUGAACCGAGGUCAUUACUAAAAAUGUUGAUCGUAGUCAACUAUAGUCAUUUUUAAAGUCGAAAAAUCACAUUUUCUUUCAAAAUUUUACUUAUAAACUUUUCAGAAGUCGACACAGGCCACAUACGCAAGUCAUAAAUCAUUAAAUUUAAGUUAUGAAAAGUCUCGAAAUAAAAAAAGAAAAGAAAAUAGUACUCAAAAUGACCUAUUGUGUCGAUAAUACACUAUAUCGAUAACUCUAUCCUGUGAUGUGAUGCCCUACGAAUAUGUUCAAAUCUGGAAAACCUCCACCGUACAUAGGAUAAGAUAAUCUGGUGCUGAAUGCCAGGACAUGAGUCAGUAAGUAUAAUCAAGUUGUUGAAAUUUGAUUGAAAAUUUAGGAGAGGAUGAUGGAUGAUGUCGUACCUCCUCGAGGAAAGAGGUAUUUAUCCAUGCUAAUAAAUGAGCACCAAAUCUUCGAAGUUAGAAGCAGUGCUGUGAAAUUAUUUUAAGAUAUGGUUCCAUGAUUGGCGCCUAAUUUGAGGCAACGUGUACUUGAAACUUUAAGUUUUGCUAUUGAGUAUGCUUGAAACAGAUAAACUAAUUUAAUCUGAACGGUUAGACGUCAAGAUUUGGAUUUAAUGUAGUUAUAAAUGAUUUUAUGAAAAUAUGAACCUAAAAUGUCUCAUCCAAUAAAGCAUAAGUUAUAUUACGCAUGGUAGACUUCCCUUUAAGAGGAUUUAUAAUUGAUGGUCAGAGGGAGCAGGAAGAGUCACUCAAAUUACCUUGUGUUAAAAACAAAUGAACUGGCUCUUUAUAUGUUUGUUUAUCUAUUUACAGAAUGAAAAGUGAAAACCAAAUACAUCACCUUUAAAUCAGUAGAUGUUUGUUUAUCACUUUACCUGUUUAAAGGAAGUGGUGCAUACGCCGCCUUGGAUUUUAAUUCCGCUAAGAUCAUUUGGCUAAAGCCAAUGGUACAAGAUUUGCUUUUCUCUCAACUUUUUAAAAAUUAGAAAAAGUGACUUUAUA
rnacentral:lncRNA from 1 species